rnacentral:lncRNA from 1 species
CCCACUCUGUCUUUAUUCUCAGGAGUGCUGAACUCACAAUUCUCCAUCAUCAUCAUCAUCAUCAUCAUAGUCUUCAGAGUUGAAACCUCACCUGUUUCUCCAGGUAUAACCUUCAUUAUCCUAACACUGAUCCUGAUAAUACACAACUCCAGCGGUUACUGCCUCCCCAGCUCAGCUAACCUGCUCUGGAACUCUGUUCUCCAUGUCAUGCUCUGUCCUGGCCCACUCCAACCUGGAAGCAGACAGUGCCUAUCUCUAGACAGACGGCUGAGAACAUGAUCUUCCAAAGAGCCUCUAACCCUCAGUCCCAAGGACUUGUUGAGAGAGCAAUUACCUGGCUGAAUUUCAACCUGACUCUGAAUCGGGAGGGAGCAUCUACUUUGCCCUGGCUGAAUAUAUUCUAUUUCCAGAAGACCAUUUACACCCAGAGCAGCCCAGUGGUGUGUGUCCUGGCUGAUAAAGAAUUGAACCAUCAGGGGAUGUCGGACAAAAUUCCAGUAAGGAAGGAGCUUGAGGUGAGUGAGCUUUUUCCUCAAGACAGAGGACCGGUGGGAAAUCAAGUAGUUGCAUAGUUAGACUGCUG